rnacentral:miRNA from 1 species
AUUAGGUUGGCCAAAAAGUUCGUUCGGGUUUUUCCGUAAGAUGUUAUGAAAAACUCGAAUGAGCUUUUUGACCAACCCAAU